rnacentral:tRNA from 1 species
CCGUCGGUGCCUCGGGGGGAGCGGCCUUCAAGUCGUUCGAAGAACGCGUCAAGUGAUGCCGCCGGCUCCGUCCGGCCCCCCGGAC